rnacentral:rRNA from 1 species
CGCGGUAAUUCCAGCUCCAAUAGCGUAUACUAAAGUGUUGCAGUUAAAAAGCUCGUAGUUGGAUUUCUGGCGGGGACGGCUGGUCGGUCUCGAAAGGGGCUGUACUGUUGUUGGUUCCCGUCAUCCUUGGGGAGAGCGGCUCUUACAUUAAGUUGUCGGCGUCGGGAUCCCUAUCUUUUACUGUGAAAAAAUUAGAGUGUUCAAAGCAGGCUUAGGCCCUGAAUACAUUAGCAUGGAAUAAUAAGAUACGACCUUGGUGGUCUAUUUUGUUGGUUUGCACGCCAAGGUAAUGAUUAAUAGGGAUAGUUGGGGGUAUUCGUAUUCAAUUGUCAGAGGUGAAAUUCUUGGAUUUAUGGAAGACGAACUACUGCGAAAGCAUUUACCAAGGAUGUUUUCAUUAAUCAAGAACGAAAGUUAGGGGAUCGAAGAUGAUUAGAUACCAUCGUAGUCUUAACCAUAAACUAUGCCGACUAGGGAUCGGUGGGUGCAUUUUUAGGCCUCAUCGGCACCUUAUGAGAAAUCUAAGUCUUUGGGUUCCGGGGGGAGUAUGGUCGCAAGGCUGAAACUUAAAGAAAUUGACGG